rnacentral:rRNA from 1 species
GAGGCGAACCGGGGGAACUGAAACAUCUAAGUACCCCGAGGAAAAGAAAUCAACCGAGAUUCCGAAAGUAGCGGCGAGCGAAAUUGGACUAGCCCUUAAGCUUUACACGCGUUAGACGAACGGUCUGGAAAGUCCGACGAUACAGGGUGAUAGUCCCGUAGUUGACGACGUGUGUUCAGUGAAAUCGAGUAGGGCGGGACACGUGAUAUCCUGUCUGAAUAUGGGGGGACCAUCCUCCAAGGCUAAAUACUACUGACUGACCGAUAGUGAACCAGUACCGUGAGGGAAAGGCGAAAAGAACCCCUGUGAGGGGAGUGAAAUAGAACCUGAAACCGUGUACGUACAAGCAGUAGGAGCAGGCUUUGUCCUGUGACUGCGUACCUUUUGUAUAAUGGGUCAGCGACUUAUAUUCAGUGGCAAGGUUAACCAUCUAGGGGAGCCGUAGGGAAACCGAGUCUUAACUGGGCGUUCAGUCUCUGGAUAUAGACCCGAAACCAGGUGAUCUAGCCAUGGGCAGGUUGAAGGUUGAGUAACAUCAACUGGAGGACCGAACCGACUAAUGUUGAAAAAUUAGCGGAUGACUUGUGGCUAGGGGUGAAAGGCCAAUCAAACCUGGAGAUAGCUGGUUCUCCCCGAAAGCUAUUUAGGUAGCGCCUCGGACGAAUACUACUGGGGGUAGAGCACUGUUAAGGCUAGG